CGGUUUUGGUCGCCCGAAGAGGGCGCCAAGAGGGAAUCGGGUGCAAAUCCCGAACAGUCCCGCUGCUGUGAGUUCCAACGAGUUUGCCACUCUCGACAAGAAGCCACUGCCGGGCCGCAAGGCCGGCGGGAAGGCAGAGAGAAACGGCCGGAACAAGUCAGAAGACCUGCCAGAACCG
rnacentral:ncRNA from 1 species